CAGUGUUGCCGCGACGUCAUGAAAAAAUUGUAUCGUAAAAGAUACAAAAAAUGGAUCAAAUGUAUCACAACUUUUUUAAUUAGGU